rnacentral:tRNA from 1 species
UGUAAAGUGGCCGAGUGUUAGGCGGUGGAUUGUAAAUCUAUUUACGGAAUAUUUUCCCUUUAUUA